AUUGAACGCUGGCGGCAGGCUUAACACAUGCAAGUCGAGCGGAAACGAUGAUAGCUUGCUAUCAGGCGUCGAGCGGCGGACGGGUGAGUAAUACUUAGGAAUCUACCUAGUAGUGGGGGAUAGCACGGGGAAACUCGUAUUAAUACCGCAUACGUCCUACGGGAGAAAGGGGGCAACUUGUUGCUCUCGCUAUUAGAUGAGCCUAAGUCGGAUUAGCUAGAUGGUGGGGUAAAGGCCUACCAUGGCGACGAUCUGUAGCUGGUCUGAGAGGAUGAUCAGCCACACCGGGACUGAGACACGGCCCGGACUCCUACGGGAGGCAGCAGUGGGGAAUAUUGGACAAUGGGGGAAACCCUGAUCCAGCCAUGCCGCGUGUGUGAAGAAGGCCUUUUGGUUGUAAAGCACUUUAAGCAGUGAAGAAGACUCUUCGGUUAAUACCCGGAGACGAUGACAUUAGCUGCAGAAUAAGCACCGGCUAACUCUGUGCCAGCAGCCGCGGUAAUACAGAGGGUGCAAGCGUUAAUCGGAAUUACUGGGCGUAAAGCGAGCGUAGGUGGCUUGAUAAGUCAGAUGUGAAAUCCCCGGGCUUAACCUGGGAACUGCAUCUGAAACUGUUAGGCUAGAGUAGGUGAGAGGGAAGUAGAAUUUCAGGUGUAGCGGUGAAAUGCGUAGAGAUCUGAAGGAAUACCGAUGGCGAAGGCAGCUUCCUGGCAUCAUACUGACACUGAGGCUCGAAAGCGUGGGUAGCAAACAGG
rnacentral:rRNA from 1 species